rnacentral:rRNA from 1 species
GACGAACGCUGGCGGCGUGCUUAACACAUGCAAGUCGAACGGAAAGGCCCUGCUUUUGUGGGGUGCUCGAGUGGCGAACGGGUGCGUAACACGUGAGUAUCCUGCUCUUGACUUUGGGAUAACUUCAGGAAACUGGGGCUAAUACCGGAUCGGAGCUCCUGCUGCAUGGUGGGGGUUGGAAAGUUUCGGCGGUUGGGGAUGGACUCGCGGCUUAUCAGCUUGUUGGUGGGGUAGUGGCUUACCAAGCCUUUGACGGGUAGCCGGCCUGAGAGGGUGACCGGCCACAUGGGGACUGAGAGACGGCCCAGACUCCUACGGGAGGCAGCAGUGGGGAAUAUGGCACAAUGGGCGGAAGCCUGAUGCAGCAACGCCGCGGGCGGGAUGACGGCCUGCGGGGUGUAAACAGCUUUCGCCUGUGACGAAGCGUGAGUGACGGUAAUGGAUAAAGAAGCACCGGCUAACUACGUG